CACAAUCCUGAGGAGUGCCUCGUAAAUGGAGGAAAGUCAUUGGGAACCCAAGAGCUCCUUCCUGUUACACAAUGAUUGAGAGACCAGACAACAUUGAUUUCUUUCCAACUUUUACUAAUGGCACUACUGAGGGGGACUUCAGAGAAUUUGAAGCAAAACUCCGGAUCAUCUGACCUCCAGGUUUGCGCAUGGACCCCUGACUCUAGGCCUGAUGUGCAGAUCCAGCCUCAGGCCUAUCUUUAGGAACUUGACCUAGGGACUCAGGUGGACUCGGAUCUUUCAGGGCACAGGUUCCAAUGGGCAUGCGCUUGAAGGAACAGGUAGGCAGUCCCACUACAGCAUCAAGUUUUGAAAAUUAAUGAGCCCAAUGGGCAAGCUGAACUCCAUUAGAAUUUAUGCAACAUCAUUUGUACAAAUCUCCCUUGCCAUGUGGAAGGUGCAGUUAUUGCUUGGACUGCCUGCUACAAAAAGAAAAGGACUUGCAUAUCAUCUUCUACUACCUCAAGAUUUCUUAAAACAUCCACAGUGGAUUACUUGUGAGGUAUUGUCGUGAUUGUAAUGUAUGAAAUACUCUUGUUAUUUCCUGCACAACAAAGUCCUAUAAACACUAAUGUGAUGGUGACUGUAAAUCUUUUUUUAGUGAAAUUGGCUGAGGCAUAAAUGUUGGCCAAGACACCACAGAGAACUCUACUGCUCUUCUUCAAAUAUUGCCAUCGUAUCUUUUAUAUCACCUGAUGGUGAUUUGACAACAAAUCUAAAAGGCAAGAACUCUGAAAGCAAAGCAUUAUCUCACUGCUACAUACAUGAGGGCUAGCAGCUACUUUGUUCUCAACAUCUGCAAUGGAUCUGGAACCCAUAGACUUCUGAUCUAGCAUGAGUGCUGCCACUGAGCCAAUGCCAACUCUCUACUCUGUGCCCUAGAGAUGCCUACUUAAAACUGGUAGUUAACUGUAACUGCAGACAAUGCCGGGCUCAUUUCCCUCGUGUUCUGUUUCACACUUUAAAAUCAUUACUGUUAUCAUUUAAUCUACACAGGAAAAGUUUGGUACAGAAUAUACACACAGUUUCAUAAAAGCAGCCGUAUGCUGGUUUGCACAGAUUGUUGCUGCUCUUUCAUUGCAAGACCACAAAACCACAUUGCUUCCUGCAGCUGGUUAAAACAAAGUAGUGUAUCACAAAUGUGAAUAAACAAGACCUUAUCUUUGUAGGAGAUUACACAGAAAUGUUUCAGCAGAAAAAGAAGUGUCCCAUAGGUUUCCAAGUUUGGGCACUAUUCUUGAAUAAAAGAAAAAAUAUAGGUUUUAUUUACAAUCAAGCUAGAAUAUUUUUAUAAGAUCUUUCUUAGUGACAUGUACAUCGAAACACACAGUGAAAUACACCUUUUUGCAUAGAGUGUUCUGGGGGCAGCCCUCAAGUGUCGCCACGCUUCCGACACCAACAUAGCAUACCCACAACUUCCUAACCCGUACGUCUUUGGAACGUGGGAGGAAACCAGAGCACCCGGAGGAAAUCCACGCAGACACAGGGAGAAAUUACAACUUCCUUAUAGACAGCGGCAUGAAUGGAACCCGGGUCGCUGGUGCUGUAAUAGCAUUAUGCUAACUGCUAUACUACCGUGCCUGUCCCGUUUUAGCUUUCCAUGGAUAAAAUUCCUUAAAAUAGCCUUUUUUAUUUUCCAAUUGCUCAAUGUUUUUCUUUCUUUUUAUGUCCCUUAUUACUUUGCAGGAUGUGGGUAUUGCUGACCCUUAAUUGCCCUUGAUAAGGUGAUGGUGAGCUGCCUUAUUGACAACUGAGUGCACUAGUUAGCUAUUUCAGAGGGUUCUCAAGGCUAUUUCUCAAGACUGCCCCACCAUUCAAUAUCAUCAUGGCUGAUCUGCCACAGGCCUCAUCUCUUCUUCAAUGCCUGUUCUACAUAGCCAAUUCCCUGAGCCUUUCAAAAAUUUAUUUACCUCCUCUUUAACUAACUCCAGUGAUCUAGCCUCCAUAACCCUCUGGGGCAGAAAAUUCCUACGCACCUCAGUUUUAAAUGAUUUCCCCUUAUUUUGGAACUAAUUCCCCUUCUUUGAAACUUUCCCACGAGUGGAAACAUCCCAACAUCUACCCUGUCAAGCCCUCUUCGGAUCUUAUAUGUUUCAAUAAGAUCACCCCUCAUUCUUCUAAACUCCAAAGAAUAGAACUUUAUAAUUAUAACUAUAUAACAAUAGAAUAAUUAUAGAACUUUAUAAAGAUAAUUAAUAACAGCUUUAUAACUAAGAACAAUAUAACUUUUUUAGAACAACCCUCUCAUUCCAGGAAUCAGCCUAGUGGAUUUCCGCUGGACUGCCUAUGAAUGCGAGUAUAUCCUUUCUUAAAUAAGGGGACCAAAAGUGUACACAGUACUCCAGGUGCGGCUUUACCAAACACCUUGUACAAUUACAAUUAUAUUUCUCUAUUUUCACACUCCAACCUCCUUGCAAUAAAGGCCAAUGUACCAUUUGUCUUCCUAACAACUUGCUGCAACUGCUAAUUCUUUGUGUUUCAUGCACAAGGACCACUGGAUCACUCUGUACUCCACUCAUUUGCAAUCUCUCUCCAUUUAGAUAAUAAUCUUUCUUGUGAUGCUUCCUGCUGAAAUGCAUGGCUUCACACUUUCCCAUAUUGAACUCUACUUGCCAAGUUUUUGCCCACUCACUCUCAAUAUCUAUAUCCUGUUAUGGAGUCCAAAAAUCCUCAUUGAGGAAUAACCUCCCACCUAUUUUCAUGUGAUAAGCAAACUUGGAUACCUUACUGUACUCAAAGUCAUUAACGUAGCUAUUAAAUAACUGAGAGCCAAGAACUGAUCCCUGGGGCACUCCACUAGUUACAUCCUUCCAGCUAUUUCUUAAGACUUGUUGUUUUCUAUGUUACAACUGGUCUUCCAUCCAUGUUAGCACAAUACUGUGAGCUCUUAUCCAAGUACAGAUUCCACUCUAUUAACUCUGCUUGUUUGUCCUUGAAGAACUAAAGUAAAUUUGUGAAACAUGAUUUUCCUGUCAUAAAAAGAAUGUUGACUUGGUUUGAUUGCAUUAAGUCUCUAUAAAUGAUUAACUAUUUCUUCUUUGAUUAUGGGCUCCAGCAACUUGCCAACAACAGAUGUUAAGCUAACUGGCUUCUUAAUUUCCUGCUCUUUGUCUCCUUCCCUUCUUGAACAUUUAUGGUUUUGCAUUCUGAUAAUCCCCUGGAACUCAGUAAGUUUUGAAAAACAACCAAUGGCUUUACUAUCUCUGCAGCCACUUCCAUUAAAACCCUUGGAUGCAGGUCAUUGGUCCUGCUGACUUCACUACGUUUAGUCCCCUUACUUUACAUUAUCCCUCAUAAUAGAGAUUGUUAUAAGUUUUUUGUUGUUUAAACUAGCACAUCUAUUAUCUUUGAGAUCUUGGCAGCAUCCUCCACUGUUUAAACUGGUACUGGUUUAAACUAUCUGCCAUUUCUUGGUUCCCAUUAUUAAUUCAGUAGUCUCACCUUCCAGGGGUUCCACACUUACCUUAGCUGACCUCUUCCUUUUUAUAUGUUUGGUCUAGUAAUUUAACCACUCACUCUACCUUUUGUCUUGCAUAAAGUGAAGCCAUUUCCAACCCUAUAAUUUAUAUUCUUGUAACUACUAUUUUACCAUCUAUAAUUAACAGAACAAAACAAGAGCCCCAGUUCUCUGCAAACCCCCUCCUCACUCCACUGAUCUUGCUGAGUUUUACUGUGGCUGUUACAAAAUUGGCUAUAACAGAAUAAAUGCUGGGAUAUUGGAAGCAGAUAGUGCAAACUUAUCAAUUAUAAUAAUUGGUCGCCUUUUGGGUUUUGUAGGUGUCUCAAUGGAAGUGUCGAAAGGGGAGCAACAAAAAUGGAUGUGACUUUAAAUUUUCAGUGAUUAAGUUACGUGUUUAGACAUUUAUAUUAACUUAUCUAUAUCUUGUUGGUUACUUUUGUGUUUAGAUCUGAUUUUGCAUAUUUUUUGUAAGGUUUUUUGCAAAAUAAACAGAUCAAUCAACCCUUUAUCCUCUCCAUCAUGAAACACACCUACUUCCACUCCAGAAAUAUUGCUACCUUCACCUCGGCAUCAGCUAAUCCACCGUGUAAACCAUCACCCAUUCCUUUGCAACCUUCCAUCUUGAUGCUUCGAAUGCUCUUUCACUCCGCCUCCAAUUCCGCAUGCCCGUCAGCCCUCAGCUCACUUAAAGCUUCCCUGUUCAUAUUCCAUCCCACUCAUCCAUCAGUCUCGUCCUCACUGAUGUGCAUUGCCUGCUGGUUCCCCGGUGUUUAGUAUUUAAAAUGCUCAUUCUUGCACUUUAAACGACUUUUGUCUCUGGAACUUCCUGGCCACUGUUCCCCCGAGCCUGGGGUCUUGUGCAUUGCUCCCCUCCCUUUGCACCAUCACACUUGACCUUGGGUACCUUAACCCCAUGUUCUGGAAUUCCCUCUGUAAAUCUUGAAUCUCAUUGGCUAUAUUUGCGCUCCUCUUAAAGCCUCUUUAACUAAACCUGGAAUCUCUUCCUUUGACACA